rnacentral:tRNA from 1 species
GCGGAUGUGGCGAAAUUGGUAGACGCACCAGAUUUAGGUUCUGGCGGGAGACCGUGGGGGUUCGAGUCCCUCCAUCCGCACCG